rnacentral:rRNA from 1 species
UACAUGGGGUGCAAACGUUGCUCGGAAUUAUUGGGCGUAAAGCGCACGUAGGUGGUUUGUUAUGUCGGAUGUGAAAGCCCUCGGCUCAACUGAGGGAGUGCAUCCGAUACUAUUCGGCUAGAGGAAUGGAGGGGAGACUGGAAUACUUGGUGUAGCAGUGAAAUGCGUAGAUAUCAAGUGGAACACCAGUGGCGAAGGCGAGUCUCUGGACAUUUCCUGACGCUGAGGCACGAAAGCCAGGGGAGCAAACGGG